ACCUGUAAGCCAGGCCAGGGACAGUGUCAGGUGGGCAGUUUGACUGGGGCGGUCGCCUCCUAAAGUGUAACGGAGGCGCUCAAAGGUUCCCUCAGAAUGGUUGGAAAUCAUUCGCAGAGUGUAAAGGGAUAAGGGAGCUUGACUGCGAGAGAGACAACUCGAGCAGGUAGGAAACUAGGACUUAGUGAUCUGGUGGUACCGUAUGGAAGGGCCAUCACUCAACGGAUAAAAGCUACC
rnacentral:rRNA from 1 species